rnacentral:misc_RNA from 1 species
AACGCAAGUUGCGCCCGGAGCCUUCUGGCCGAGGGCACGUCUGCCUGGGCGUCACGCAUCGCUGCCCCCACAUACAACACCCACUUAGGUCUGUUGCAUUGGCGGGGGCACAUGUUGGCCUCCCGUGCGCAAUCGUCGCACGGAUGGCUUAAAAUUGAGUCCUCGGCAUCUGUUGUCGUGACACUACGGUGGUUGAUUCAACCUCGGUACCGUGUCUCGAUCUCAGCUUGCGUGCCUCCUCUUUGCGAGUGAGGGAGGAAUCUUAUGUUGACCCUUUGAACAUUGUCCCCAAAGACGAUGCUCUCGACGCGACCCCAGGUCAGGCGGGACUACCCGCUGAGUUUAA